UGACUCACCUUCAUGCUCCUGCAAAUGGAGGUGCGCGUCUCUAGGAGAUGGUGAGGUCCAGACAGUGGGAAUCCUGCGGGGCUUCCUCUCUACCUUCUCCCCUUUCUCUUCGGGAGAGGGGCCCUGAAUUGAUUCUCAAGCCCAGUCUGGAUGGUAAAAAAUGUCCAUUCAGGUUCCCUAGGAGUAAUACAAGGGGAAAAGGAUGCCAAUUUCCAUGGAUCGCCAUUUUCCAAGGUGCCGUGCUCGACACUUCACCAACUGUUGCUUCUCCCAAGGCCUUGAGGAAAGUAACAGUCAUACCUCCAGGUGGGAAAACCUCAGGGAAGCCUCUUCUGUCCUCCUAACUGGGAACAACUAAAAAUUCCUGGCGCGAGAGAUUUGUUUUUAUGGCACUGAUACCGUAAAUGGGAUACUUCACCAUUCCCCUUUCUGUGCAGGUGCUGAGAAAUGUUAGCAGAACCAACCCAGCGGCCAGCGCAUGCCGUGUGUGAACGUCCCUCCGAUGUGCACAUUUCUACUCACGGUGGGCCUCUAGGUUGUCCCUGCUAUGUUUUUCUGCUUCAUCUCACUCCAAGCUUUUCCUUCCUUGUUGCAUUUUAUAAAUAAGCUCCUGCUUCUCCUUUCUGUAUAUCAGACAGAUUUAAACAAAGAAAGAAAAGAAACACACAGGUGAUGAAGCAAGUCGUGCUCACCCAGGCUAUGUGGCAGGGCUCGGGCCUGGGUUUGACCCACAUUCAAGCCAAGAGUGUCCGAUCCUGCUGCUGCGCCGUCUCCCUCUGUCGAGUCGAAGACCGUUUACAAUACCUGAGGAGGCCAGAGGCUUUUCCUCACUCGGGGCACUCACUUCUCAGGGUCACGUCUCAGCAGCCUCCUCAAUAGCAGACCCCAUGGGAUGCACUUAUCCCAUGGCCUUGUACCCACCAUUCUUCCGUCUGAAGGUCCUGGGUGUGAGUGACUGGUUGGCAGCUGGUGGGUGGGGUUUCCAAGUGGGUGACAGCGCUCUCUGGCAGCCAGGAACACCGUGUCCACACUGACCAGGCCUGUGGAGAGUGCUCAGCCUAACCUUGGAACACAUUUGUAACUGAACGCACUGUUUUCACUUUGUAUGGAAUAGUUAAAAUAUUCUAUGAAAGUUGUGAAACGUGAACCAAAAGAAAAAACCUGGUGAGGUUAUGAAGGCUCAACUGCACCAAAAUCCUGGCCUUGAAACCAAAAUCCUGGCACUGACUCUCUUAGCAAUGUUAUGGGGGCUCUGCAAAGCUGAGAAGCCGAGUCCCAUAAGAAGAUAAAAGGUUGCGCCUGGAUGGCUUGUGUGUGGCAGAUGGGGAGGCUCCUCCUAGUCACGCCUGAACCUUCGGUCUGAACUGGAGCUCCACAGAGUGACGCUGCCCUGGAAUGCGGCAAACAUCCGCCUCCCUCCUGUGGCCGGUGCAUCCUCCAGCGUGUCCUCUGCUGGAAACGCACGUUAUCUCUAGAGCUGGCAGGUGCAGGACGCUGAGGGCUGAGUGUCUCUGGGAGCACGUCAGAUGUGAGAAUGAAAAGAGAGUCAGAGAUUGCCCUAGCCCUGCCUGGCGUGGAAAAUGUGGAGCAAAAUACAUCAGUGACUCCUGCCAGGCCUGUGGGAGAGUCAUGCCAGGCGUUUGCCAUGUUUGGUAACAACCAAGGAAGAGCGGCUGUGACAAAGUCAACACUUCUCCCUCGGGUCUCUGCCCAUCCCUUUCUGGAGUCAGUGACUAACAUUUCAGGGAGCACUGAGGUUGCCAGCUGAUCUCCCUUUACAUGGGGCCAUCCCCUUUUUGAAUGAGCUUAAAGCCAGGUACUUCACGCACUGCCAUGAUGUACAACCUGUUGCCAUGGGACCCCUUUCCAGUCUCGGGGGAGGACAGUCCACGUGCCUGGAUUCUAGAACCAUGCCUACCACACCAUUACAGGGAAGACGCCUCUAGGAAUCUAGCCGUGCCUUUCAGACAGGGAUAAUGUGGCCCACAGAUACCACCAGGCUCUUGUGAAUACAAUCAUGAGGUCACAGUGUGCCCAAACAGACGUGUCUCAGACAAACCGGAACCUGGGAAAUGGCCACUGACAUGGAGUCAGGAGCAACUUACUCUCAGGGUGCAGAUUUAUUCUAGAGUCUAUGUGAAGAAGAGAAGCCCAGAUAGAAACUGGGGAACAGGCCCAGGGGAAGGUGACCACGCGAGGAGAGCAGAGAAUCCAGGACGGUGGCCAGAGGCUGGAGCAGAGCUGGGGAGCAGGCUUCAAGCUCACAAUUCCAGCACCUGUGUGUGUGUGCACGUGUUAUGUACAUGUGUGCGCAUGCAUAUGUGCGUACUUGUGAGCACAUGUGUUUGCAUAUUUGCAUACGUGUGUGCACAGGCAUGUGUGUAUUGCGUGCUUGUGUGCACAAAUGUCUUCCCGUGUUUACAUGUAUGCACAUGUGCAUACUUCUGUGUGCAUGUAGACAUGUGUGUGUAUGUGUGCAUGUCUGUGCACAUGUGUGUGUGUUUCUGAGAGAAGAUCAGGCCAGCUCAGACUGCCUGACUGAGCACUGUACAGAAAGGCAGAGAAAAUAGCCUUUACCAGCAUUCUUGUUUGUUCAAAAUAAGGGAAGCUGUUAGAUUCUGAAGGGCGUGCUGCUGUAAUUCUUACUACCACUGUCUAAUUUAUGCAAACACUUGCCUGCAGCUGCUUCAGGAAAAGGCCUUUAUUAUCCCAAGGCCCCUCCUCCCCCGCACCCUCUGACCUGCAUGCAGAGCCCUCGGGAGCCUAUGUUUCCUGCCUGUGUUUGUGGGAAGUACUGCCGCAAUGGCCUCUGCGUGGGAGCCUGGUGAUGGGUUCCGCAACCUGGCCCUCCAUAGCCUCUUCAAUCACGUCUCCUUCAGAGAACGAAUAGCCUCCCACACAAACAUGAGUGAUUGGGAACCUUGGGAACUGUGGAAGUUUCAGCUUAAAUUCUUCUCUGAAGUUUAUCCAAAGUCCAGCUGACACUGAGCAUGAGGAUUUGAGGAGAAAAGGACUUAUGUGUUUCACUUGAAUCUUGCAAGCUUAGUUUCCUUCAAAAUGUACAACACAUAGGUUGGAUUCCUCCUCCACUGCUGAUCCCCAUCCCCCAAGCCACCAAGGUUCAGAUCCUGGAAUUUAAAGGGGUAGUGCGUGCACACACACACGGAUAUGCAAACACAUGUGUGUGCUCACAAUUACACACAUACACACGCACACACAUACAUAACACGUGCACACACACAGAGGUACUGGAAAUGUGAGCUUGAAGCCUGCUCCCCAGCUCUGCUCCUGCCUCUGGCCACCGUCCUGGAUUCUCUGCUCUGCUCACCUGGUCACCACCCCCUGGGCCUGUAAUUUGAAGAAUUUCUCAUUGGCUGUGUGACACUGGGCAACUGACUUAACCUCUCUGUGCCUCAGCUGUAAAAUGGACAUAGUAAUAAUAAUGCCCUCCCUCUUGAGGCUGUGAUGAGAAUAAAACAAGUAGAUGCAUUUGAAGUACAAGUGGCACCCACCGUGUGUCGCUUGUGUACAUGCAUGUCAUUCUCCCUGUAUGACCACUGGGAACGUUCAGGCCCACCCCAAUCUCCAGGAGGACAACUGGGGCCGAAGCUGAGUUGCUCACCCAUGGCCAAUGAUGUAAUCAAUCACAGCUCUGUAAUGAAGGCUCCAUAAAAACCCAAGAAGGCUGGGAUAGAGGAGCCUCAGGGUAGCUGGCCGUGUGGAGGGUGGCACCUGCGGAGCGCAGGGAAGCUUCACCCCCUCCCCCAGUCCUCACCUACACAUUGCUUCAUUGGCCCGUUCAUCUGUGCCCUUUGCAAUAAAGGGGUAAACAUAAGUCAAGCAUUUCCCCGAGUUCUGUGAGCCGAGCUAGCGAAUUAACCAAACCCAAGGAGAGGGUCUUAGGAACCCUGAUGUACAUAGAGCCAGCCGGUCAGAGAUACAGGGGCUUGCGAUUGGCACCUGAAGUGGGGGCCUUCUCGUGGGACUGAGCCCUCAGCCUGUGGGUCUGGCACUCAUUCCAGGUGGACAGUGUCAGGAUUGGUUGAACUACAGGACCCAGGGCCCCUCCUGACACUGCCCCGUCUCGGAGGUGGGGACGCGCUUGUCUGGGUGAGUCCCUGCUGGGGAUCUGACACUGGAAGACCUUCCAGGCGGCAGGAGGCUCAGGACCUCCCCCAGAAGCCCCUUCCCCUCCGACACUGGAAAUACAAGGUUUCGUUUCCACAAACCUGUGAGUUUGUGCAUAUUCUGCACUAGGACGCAACACGGAGUCAGGAGAGACUGUGGGGAAAAUAAGCAAAACAUGGCCAGACCCAUUUUCUUACCAAUUUUCAAGUGGAUUUCGGGUAUCAAACUAUCAUCCUGUUUGGUUUUUUUGUGCGGCAGGAUAUUAACCAGCGUUAGAGGGAGGGAGAUUCUGGGACAGGCUGCGGCGCGGAUGAGCCUUCCGGCUGCUGAGUGACAUGAGCCAGUCACUGAGAACAAAUCCUGCCCAACUCCACUUAGGUGGGGUCCAAAGAGUUGACAGGUUCACGGAGACAGGGA
ensembl:lincRNA